rnacentral:ribozyme from 1 species
GCUGUAUUGGUUCGUGAGAAUAGAUGCAGCUGCCUCCUUACUGUGAGAAUCAGUGACAAACAUGUGGGGCUUAUAUCUUAGAUGUCCAUCUAACUCGUGCUGUAGUUAGACAAGGCAACCAUCGAGUAUUAGUGCAGACGUUAAAAUCAUGU